rnacentral:lncRNA from 1 species
CCGAUUGAGCUUUAGAAGUUGCCGAAUGAUUCUUCUUUAUUUUUACCGGGCAACUCUUUUUUAUGUGUCCUUUGUUUCCACAUCGAUGACAUACUUUUUUCUUUAAAGUUGUUGAGACUUUAGAUGUCGCCGUUUGAUCCUUCUCAACAUAUGUCCUUUCAUAUCCAAGACCAAGCUUGUUCGUUUGACCCAAUCCGAGCAUAUGAUCUAGUUUCUUUGAUCCGGAAGAAAAUUUUUGAAGAUCGGAUUUGAGUUGACAAACUUGACUAGUUAAGACUUGAUUGGAUGCAUGAAUUUUCUGAAAUUGAUGCUCCAAAAAUUCAAUCUUGUCUUUAGAUGAUUUGACCGUUAAUUCCUCUUCCUCUAGCUUCUUUUGAAGGAUCGAAUU